UCAUUACAGAGUUUUCUAACUCCCAAACCCAUGUGAACUUACCAUUGUUGCCUCGGCAGAACCUACCCGGUACCUACCCUGUAACGACCUACCCUGUAGCGAGUUACCCGGGAACGGCCUACCCUGUAGUGCGCUGCCGGCGGACCUCUUAACUCUUGUUAUUUUAUAGUAAUCUGAGCGUCUUAUUUUAAUAAGUCAAAACUUUCAACAACGGAUCUCUUGGUUCUGGCAUCGAUGAAGAACGCAGCGAAAUGCGAUACGUAAUGUGAAUUGCAGAAUUCAGUGAAUCAUCGAAUCUUUGAACGCACAUUGCGCCCAUUAGUAUUCUAGUGGGCAUGCCUGUUCGAGCGUCAUUUCAACCCUUAAGCCUAGCUUAGUGUUGGGAGCCUACUGUAUUGUAGCUCCCCAAAUCCAACGGCGGAUCUGUGGUAUCCUCUGAGCGUAGUAAUUUUUAUCUCGCUUUUGUCAGGUGCCGCAGCUCUCAGCCGCUAAACCCCCCCAAUUUUUUAAUGGUUGACCUCGGAUCAGGUAGGAAUACCCGCUGAACUUAAGC
rnacentral:rRNA from 1 species